AUUGAGCGCUGGCGGCAGGCCUAACACAUGCAAGUCGAGCGGCAGCGACUUAACUGAACCUUCGGAGAACGUUAAGGGCGGCGAGCGGCGGACGGGUGAGUAAUGCCUGGGAAUAUGCCCUGAUGUGGGGGAUAACUAUUGGAAACGAUAGCUAAUACCGCAUAAUCUCUUCGGAGCAAAGAGGGGGACCUUCGGGCCUCUCGCGUCAGGAUUAGCCCAGGUGGGAUUAGCUUGUUGGUGAGGUAAUGGCUCACCAAGGCAACGAUCCCUAGCUGGUCUGAGAGGAUGAUCAGCCACACUGGAACUGAGACACGGUCCAGACUCCUACGGGAGGCAGCAGUGGGGAAUAUUGCACAAUGGGGGAAACCCUGAUGCAGCCAUGCCGCGUGUGUGAAGAAGGCCUUCGGGUUGUAAAGCACUUUCAGUAGGGAGGAAGGUAGUGUAGUUAACACCUGCACUAUUUGACGUUACCUACAGAAGAAGCACCGGCUAACUCCGUGCCAGCAGCCGCGGUAAUACGGAGGGUGCGAGCGUUAAUCGGAAUUACUGGGCGUAAAGCGCAUGCAGGCGGCCUGUUAAGUCAGAUGUGAAAGCCCGGGGCUUAACCUCGGAAUUGCAUUUGAAACUGGCAGGCUAGAGUCUUGUAGAGGGGGGUAGAAUUUCAGGUGUAGCGGUGAAAUGCGUAGAGAUCUGAAGGAAUACCAGUGGCGAAGGCGGCCCCCUGGACAAAGACUGACGCUCAGAUGCGAAAGCGUGGGGAGCAAACAGG
rnacentral:rRNA from 1 species